GAGAAAGGGAGUACAGUUGAUAUUCUGUAACUGACAACAGUUCGCGGCAACGCAUACUAUUUUUCUCCGCCAAUCUUAUACCGUUGGUAGGGAUCUCUUUCCUACAUGACAGUACUAAUACCCAGGGAAACUGGUCAUCAGGCGAACUGCGGCGUUCUGCUGGCAAAACAUAGCUUCGGUUAUGUCAAUGGCUAUUGGAUUGGUCCAUGAAGCGAAAAAUAGUUUACUGUGUCACUCGUACCGAUAACCGCAUCAGGUCUUCUAGGUAAGUAGCCUAUGGCCAUUGAGGCAUGAUAGUUCAGGGAAUUCGGCCAAUUAGAGCUGUAACUUCGGGAUAAAGCUUGGCUCUGAUGAAAAUCAGAACCGAUUGUUACGCGGAGAGCCCAACUGUUUAAUAAAAACGUAGUGUCGCGCUGUGGUAGUAUAGCCAGUGAACGCGACAUGAAUCCUGCUCAGUGCUGUGUCUGUUAAUAUGGUUCAAGCCAACGAAGCACCGGUAAAUAGCUGGGGUAACUAUGACUCUUAUCAAAGUAGCGAAAUACCUCGUCACUUAAUUAGUGACCUGCAUGAACGGAGCUAUGAGGUUCUCACUGUCCCAAACUGUCUCUCAGCGAACCAACUGUAGUGGGAACGGUCACUAGAUAUCCAGCGGGCAAAGAAGACCCUGUAGAGCUUCACUUUGGUCUAGUCUUGUAUAGUUCCUGCGGGGGUGUAGACUAGGUGGGAGAGCAAUCGAUUCUGAAAAACCACUACCCUGUUUGGAAUUAUGCUUACCUAUCACAAGGAAUAGGACUAGAUAGAA
rnacentral:ncRNA from 1 species